CAUGUGACACGUGCCAGUGGCAUGUAAAAUACAUGUCACUGGAUCAUCGACAUGUGCCACGUUCCAAUGACAUGUCACUGGCAUCGGCAUUUGACAUGCCACUUCGGCAUGCUCAGAGCGGUAGAUUCAAGGAAACAUUGGCGGACGUUUUCCAGGCUACUUCCAUUGGCGUCUGCCUAACUUUAUCAGCGAUGCUUGAUGCUGAAAGUGACGUGACAAGAGGACAUUGCCUUUCAUUAGCAGUGCCACUGCAUUGGUUGACACCAUAAGGGAAUCGGUCGUCCUUGCCCGGAACAACUGCUCCACUUUACUGAUGAUAUUGAAGGCCUGCGAUGGACGUUCAUGUGUGGAUAAGGUGUGGCACCCCCAACCAAACUUGAAGGGGUCGUCCGUGUAUGGGACCAAGGAUGCAGAGGACAAGAAGGGUGUGUAGUAUGUAGUAUGUAGUAUGUGUAGUUUAUGGUUUAGGUCCAAAUGAAGGGACCCUCCAACAUCUCCAACACCU